GCCCUGCAUCCCGGGGGCGGGGAGUGGGACGGUGCCUCGCCGCGAGUGCCGAAGGCGGGGAACGGGGCGGGUAAUCUCUGUGCUUCCUCAGUCCCCAGGCCCAGCACCUGCAGGGCCGACCAGCUCCAGUCCCAGGUCCAAUCCUGAGUGGCCAAAAGCCGGAAACCCGGAGCUGGAAUUGGGUCUUGCACAAGCUGGACCAUGAAGUUAGGCUACUUGAGAAGCAUCUUUAAGGGGGAGAGAAAGCAAGUUAAAUCUGAUUUCCACGCAGCUCUGUGGAUCCCGAAUGUCCAUAGCAUGAUGUUAUCUCCAUUUCCACUUCCCAGCCGCUCCUGUUCCUUGUGUUUCCUGCACCAUCAUUCUCUCAGGUGCUCUACACUAAAAUUUGCUGUCAUCGUUGACUUCUCCCUCUCCUUCAUCCCCUACAAGUAUCAACAUAGACAAAUCCGAUCAAUAUAAUCAUCAGUGAAUAAAGCAAAUUGCAGUGCAUAUUCUUAAAGACAGACUUUACACUUGCAGCAGCACCUAGCUUGCAGAGAGCUAAGUUGAAGCCCGUGUUUAUCAUAGCGGAUUCUAACCAGCCAAAGCUGAUAAUUACUAAGAACUUGCAGGAGUUGCAGUAUGCCAGACCUUCAAUUUAACUGAAGACUUUCCUGAACAAUUAAUAAGGAGACUUGUCUUAACCUGCAGGGAAUGGCUUUAGGGACUCAUUCUUCCCUAUGCAGGCGCAAGCCUCAAACCUUAAUUCGGAUCAUCCACGAUGAUUCUCGAGCCCUUCCCUCACCUUAUAUUUGAAGAGGCUGAACCUCAGAGAAUUAAAUUACCUACAGUCCUGGUCACUGGUAGAGCUAUUAUUUAAAGUAAGGUCUAAUGUCAAAGCCUACGUCCUUAACUCUACCAUAUGCUGCUUCUUGUAGUGUCCUUCCUCAACCAGAACACAUAGCUCUUCUGUGUAGGAAAAGUCCAUCAAAACAUGUCAUCAAUUAAAGAAAUUGGUUUCUGCUCUAUUUCAA